rnacentral:rRNA from 1 species
AUUGAACGCUGGCGGCAGGCCUAACACAUGCAAGUCGAGCGGAUGAAGGGAGCUUGCUCCUGGAGUCAGCGGCGGACGGGUGAGUAAUGCCUAGGAAUCUGCCUGGUAGUGGGGGAUAACGUCCUGAAACGGGCGCUAAUACCGCAGACGUCCUGCGGGAGCAAGUGGGGGAUCUUCGGACCUCACGCUAUCAGAUGAGCCUAGGUCGGAUUAGCUAGUUGGUGGGGUAAAGGCCUACCAAGGCGACGAUCCGUAACUGGUCUGAGAGGAUGAUCAGUCACACUGGAACUGGGACACGGUCCUGACUCCUACGGGAGGCAGCAGUGGGGAAUAUUGGACAACGGGCGAAAGCCUGAUCCAGCCAUGCCGAGUGUGUGAAGAAGGUCUUCGGAUUGUAAAGCACGUUAAGUUGGGAGGAAGCGCAGUAAGUUAAUACCUUGCUGUUUUGACGUUACCAACAGAAUAAGCACCGGCUAACUUCGUG